GUACAAUGUUUAAAAUGAAAUUAAGGCCACUUAGAACACGUAAAGGUGGUUGAAGUCAAGUUACGGCCACUUAGAACACGUAAAGGAAUUUUCUGAGUCGUCUUCUUCAAUCAAUGACGAACCAAUACGAACCCAUGCGAACAAUUUUGAAAUGACUUCGACUUUUAGAAAAAAUCAACACAAAAAAGCCAUAAAGCUAUAAAAACCAGAGGUGAAAGGAAGAAGAAGAAGGAGAAGAAGAAGAAGAAGAAGAAGAAGAAAGACUGUUGAGAAUUAAUAUGGGGAAGAUAGUUUUCUCGCCGAUGAAAGAAGUCAUUGCUUUCGACUUCACAGGAUUUCUCAUGGCUCUGCUCGUUGCCAUCGCUGUUUUGAUCACCUGUCUUGUACCUCGACGGAGAGCCACAGUUGUUCUGGCGCAUCGCUGUUUUAAUCUCUGAUUGUUUUGUUAGUUCAUCCUAAAUCAUCCCAAAUGAAUGCUUGAUUAUAAAAAUAUACUACAGUGAACUUCUGCGUUAUUCAAUUAUCGUUUGAUAAUUACUGAGAUAAAACUCGUUGAUUAGUGUUUGCUACUAUCAACUCCACUCUAUAAAUCAAACAAUGUAUGUGUUCCAACCAAUUUUACUACACUUUAUUAGGAAACUCUCUCUCUCUCUCUCUCUCUCUCUAUAUAUAUAUAUAUAUAUAUAUCAUUUAUGUAGAAGUCAAUCAACUGUAAGCUUCUGAGUUGCACUAGGAAUACGGAGAAGUGCAGAUACGGGCUUACAUUAGCAUCUCCCCUGAAUUCCAGCUGUUUGAUUUUGGCCGGGCUUUAGAUAAUUACGAGCAACUCUCUCGCCCGG
rnacentral:lncRNA from 1 species